UAAGCAUAGGUCCUAUAAAUUUUUCUUCUCUAGUCAAAAACCCAAAUUCUAAUCUUAAUUUGACAGACCCCCCUGGACAAAUUGAAAUACCCAUUUUGCCCUUUUAAUUUCAAUUUAAAACCCUAACCCCUCUCUCUUAACUCUCGUUCUAUCCUCCCUCCUCCCACCGUCUCUUCCCUCUUUCACCUCCCACCUGCUCCGCUGCUCUGCCACCGGCGCAAAACCGCCGCUGCUCCGCCACUGCUCCGCCACCGGCAUAAAAUCGUCGCUGCUCCGCCCGAGCCUUGUGCCGCUGCUCCGCCACCGUGCUGCUCGGUUCCUUUCUCACUCUAACCAUUCUUCCACCGCCCAUCCUCGCUCCACCUCCACCGUUCAAGCGGUCGCUCCCCCUCCGUCUAGCGCCGCCGACAACGGAUCUAGAAAAUCGCUGUCUUUUUACAGCAGAUCCGACACACAGUAGGUCUUGCAAGAGUACUUGGGUCCCGCUACGAACACGAGAAUUUUACAGGACCGCCAUUUUUUGCCGCUAAUUCCUGCUUCUUCGAAGCUUCAUGUUGCAAGCACGAAAAGACCUUCCACAAUUUACUGUUUCAAAAACAACGCCCCUGAAGAAUCUGUUAAGAAAGUUUUCCUUUGUAUAACUUUAUGAGAUGCAGAGAUGUGCCAUGUGAAGUUGCAUUCAUGCUAUAUUACUCCAGACUAUAUGUCACUAUAUAUUACUAUAGAUAAUUGUAGAUAACUAUAGUCACGUGUAGUAACAUAUAAUUAUAUGUAUGUUAUGUGUUUUGUAAUAGUAAUGUGUGUUCAUGUUUUGAAGAUUAUAUGCAUGUGAUUGUGUUUUUUUCA